UAUUCCUAAAAAUUAUUGAACCAGACCAAACCGAUUAUUCAAUAGUUUUUGUAUGUUAGAACCGUACUAGAUCGGACCGGACCAAGCAGAGCACUAGUAUCUACGUGUCUUGCAGGUGGACGGCGAGAAGACGAAUCUAUGUUAAACAUUUGGACGCUUGUGAAAUGAAUUUCUCUGCUGCAUUGAAGCUUUUUUGAUAUUUUUAUCAAUGCCGACUUUAAUCAAUUUUAGCAUCCCCUAUAUUUGGGCUUUAAUUGCGCCUGACGGACUGGGCGUCGCACCAAGCCGCGACGAAUACGGGAAAACAUUCCGCCUGGAGUGCCGCACCACGGCGUAAAUCGUAAAUGACCUCUCGGAUACACGCCUCAGGUUUUCGGCCCAAUAGCAAUAGUAAGUCUUCGCGUAAGCCCUUUUCACGGUGAACCAUCGCCAAAGUCGAAAUCAGCAUUCACGACAGAUUACUGAGAAAUUCACGAUUAGAAAUUUAUUUCAUUAUUAAAAAUAAUACAACGAAUUGUACACCGAAACGAACAAAAGUCAUCCGUAUACGAUUACAUAAUAGAGCCCUUAAACCGCUCAACUAGAUUUGGCGAUACGGUUCCUGUGGGAGGCCCAAGCAAGUCCGAAUGUCCCCGAUGCCAUCCUGCCGAAAGUCCAUCACUGGAGAUCAUCUCCGGUGAAAUCAACAGAGACGGCGGAAGGAUGACUGUGAUAGAUUUGUCGUUCAAUCGUCAUCUCUCAAGAUAUCGAUCAGAAUUCUCUCGAGCCUACACAUCGUGUGCACCGCGACGGUAUAGUCGUUUAACAAGAGACCGCAACGGCACAACGAUCGGGAUUACGAUCGGGUACAGUACUGAAGAAGUGUGUUCGUAAUUUAUUUUUUAUUUUAUGGAUCGAAAAAAUAUGUAGUCAAAUUAAUUGCAAACAAAUAUUGUUUUGUUAUUUCUGUCGACGUCACGUCCUAUACACGACUAUUGUAUCCAUCCGGUAUCCGGGGACGGCGUACUAGCGAUAGCGCUGAAUAUAUUAUACAUAUCCAAGUCGACAA